rnacentral:snRNA from 1 species
GGGUGUGAGAGUGAUCUGGCUGCCACAUCUGUCACCUCAUUGAUUGCCAGGCUGGCUGCAUUAGUGCUGGAUGGCUAGGCUGGAGUUUCCUUUCUCCCUUACCUUUCCAUUGCAUCUCUUCUUGAGUUGCAUGCUGUCAAAGAAGACAUCCUUUUCUAACAGGGUGGACCAUUCUUCAGAGAAGAGCAUGCUUA